rnacentral:rRNA from 1 species
UACGAAGGGGGCUAGCGUUGCUCGGAAUUACUGGGCGUAAAGCGCACGUAGGCGGUCUUUUAAGUCGGGGGUGAAAUCCUGGAGCUCAACUCCAGAACUGCCUUCGAUACUGGAAGACUUGAGUCCGGGAGAGGCGAGUGGAACUGCGAGUGUAGAGGUGAAAUUCGUAGAUAUUCGCAAGAACACCAGUGGCGAAGGCGGCUCACUGGCCCGUUACCGACGCUCAGGCGCGACAGCGUGGGGAGCAAACAGG